UACAUAGGGUACAAGCGUUGUCCGGAAUUAUUGGGCGUAAAGAGCUCGUAGGUGGUUGGUCGCGUCUGCUGUGGAAACGCAACGCUUAACGUUGCGCGUGCAGUGGGUACGGGCUGACUAGAGUGCAGUAGGGGAGUCUGGAAUUCCUGGUGUAGCGGUGAAAUGCGCAGAUAUCAGGAGGAACACCGGUGGCGAAGGCGGUUCUCUGGGCCUUACCUGACGCUGAGGAGCGAAAGCAUGGGGAGCAAACAGG
rnacentral:rRNA from 1 species